rfam:Lasius niger Lnig_2.1_1615, whole genome shotgun sequence.
CGUGGUGCAUUCGAUAAUGCA